rnacentral:miRNA from 1 species
UUUGGCACUAGUACAUACUUGCU